rnacentral:lncRNA from 1 species
CUAAUUUAUGCAAAAUAUUUUUCUUUUUGAAGGAGAAUCACAUUUAUAAUCUUAUAAUCUAGCUCUAAUUCACUCUAAGUUUUGCUCACAUUUCUGCUCACCAUAUAUGCAUUUGUAUGUGUGUAGAAGUCUGGGAGAGAGAGAGAGAAAGAGAUAAAGUGGAGGUUAUUAAUAUCUACUGUUAUAUUUCCUAUCAAUAGUAGCAGAUUUUAUCUAAAAUACCAUUUCUAAGUCAAAGGGAUCCUGGUUCUUUCAAUAAGCGCUAACACAGAAGGGUUAUUUGGAAAUCUGUGCAAACAAAUAAAUGUAGCUGUUUCCAGUUAUGUGUAAAUAAGAUUGUGUUUCUCUCAUUAGGACAAGAGCAAAUGAGGGAGACAUCUAUGUGCUUUGUUACUAAUGUGCAAUUAAUAUGAUCUAAAGUAAAUUGGAUACACAAGUAAAGAUGCUCGGGUGCAAAUUAUUUAUUCAUGCAAUAAAAUCUCUUGAAAAGAAAGGAACGCUGACGGUAACUUUGUAGGCAACACACCAUUCUCCUGCUCCUGCCCAUGUAUUUUCAGCACCCUACCUAGUAAUAGUCAUAUUCCUAUUAAUGUUAGUGAGAGUUUUGAAACUUCAGUCCCUAUACACAUCUUUGAAAAUGUGUAUGUCAAAGUAAACUGUUAAUGAAAAACUGUUUUUUGUUUUCAAGGAAAUAGUUUGAAUCUCUCACCAAAGAUGCUCCAGAAGGCCCUUCAUUCUUGUUACGGGGGAGGAAUAAUAGCAGACAGUUGCUAUCCGGAGGUCAUCAUCUUUAAGGCAUCAUGGAUAAGAAGUUGCACUGGGGAGGGAAUCGUGUUUAGGGUUUUCCCAAGCCCAGAGAACACAGAAGCGCGGCCCCAUGCUGCUGCACAGUGAUGGAGGACGUUGAUUCUUUCCUGGACCCUUUCACCUGGGAGCACCUGAUCAGUGAUAGCGGCGUGCUAAGGCUUUGCAAGGAAAAUAUAGCUACAGAACUGUAUAUUCAACUAUAUGAUCCAACACGAGCUGCUCCAUACCUGAGGUCAAAAGGCAAGCAAACAACCAACACUAUAUUGUCUUUACAUACCAUCAAAGUGCAAAGUCACCAAUGGAAGCCCUCCACAAAUCUCCAGCUUUGUAUUUGCUCUUCAUAGUAACUUCCUAUGACUUUCUACCAAAGUGAUACCGUAAGUAUGCCCUUCCCUGAGUUUUGUGAGCCAUCUUACUGAAUUAUUGGACCUGAGAGUGUAGCGUGAACACUCGUGUUUGUCACCCACUGAUCAGAAGUGAGGAUGGUGUCCUGGGAAUCCCCAAACAUGUGACUGAUGUCUUAGGUUGUCGCAGGCAUGUCCUUGGAAACUCUACACUGGGCUCACCUUUCCUGAUUUUAAAGCUUUCUACAAAUAGGACCACAACAUUUAAAGUGGUGGGGUACCAGCAUAUAGACCAGUGGUGGUGAACCCAUGGCACGUGUGCCACGGCGGGCCCAGCAGCCAAGCAUUGGAUAUUGGAUUGGAUAUUCAAGCAUUGAAUAUUAAUUGCAGUGUCCCACUUAGCAAUAAAUAAGUGGGCAUUGGGAUGAUGUUUGGAUGCUCGGUCUCUAAGAGGUUUGCCAUACAGACAAUGGAACAGAACUCGGAGUCCAGAAAUAAACCAGUACGUUUUUGAUCAAUGGCAGUUGACUCUCAGCAGAUAUACUACGGUCAUUCACUGAGAAAAGAAGAGUCUCCUCAGCUGGUGGUGCUGACACAACAGACCUGCAUGUGCCAAAGACUGAAGUUAGACUCAGUUCCUGUCUGUAAAUGUUAACUCAGAAUGGAUCAGAAAUCCAAGUGUAAGAGCCAAACUGAUGCAACUCUCAGAAGAAAAUAUGGGGUCGCUCUUUAUGACCUUGGAUUUGGCACUGGAGUUGUAGACAGGAUAGAAAAAGCAUGAGGAAUAAAAAAGCAAAAAACACCUGAUAAAUUGGACUUCAUCAGAUUUAAAAAUGUUCAUUGAAGAAUAUUAUCAAUAAAAUAAAAAAUAAACUAUAGAAAGAAAAAAUAUUUUCCCAAUGAUAUAGCUGAUAAGGGCUUAAUAUUAAAAUAUGUAAAGAACUCUUAUGCUCCGUAACAAAAGGACAAACCAACCAAUUAAAAAUUGGCAAAGGACCCAAAUAGACAUUUCUGCAGGUAAGAUGGCUGAGAGGCAAGAAGCACAUGAAAAAAAGCUCAACAUCCGUAGUCAGAGAAAUGCAAGUUAAAACCACAAUGAAAUAUCACUUCACAAACACAGGCAUGAUGGUAAUAAAACACACACACAUAGAAAAUCAGUGUUGGUGAUAAUGUGGAGAAAUUGGAACCCUUUUACAUUGCUUGUGGGAACAUAAAAUGGUACAGCUACUUUGGAAAACUGGUUAGUAUUUUCUCCAAAAAGUAAACAAGUCUAUGUGUACUCAUGUUUUUAGAAACACUAUACAGAGUAGCCAAAAAGCGGAAACUGAAUGUCUGGCAAUCGGUUAGCAUAAAAAUAAACUGUGGUAUGUGCAUGUGGUACAACGUUACUAAGCCAUGAAAAGGAGUGAAAACUGAUAAUGCUCCACGUGGAUACAUUUUGAAAACAUUAUCCCCCUGACAGAAGUCAGACACAAAGGGAACACACCACAGGCUUCCAUUCCUAUGAAGUAUCCUGGGCGGACAAAUCCAUGGAGCCGGAAUGCAGGCUGUUUGCCAGGGCGUGGGUGGGAAGAGGUUGGG